AGUCCUUUACUGACGCUAAAGCUCGAAGGUGCGGGUAUCGAACAGGAUUAGAUACCCUGGUAGUCCGCACGGUAAACGAUGGAUGCCCGCUGUUUGCGAUAUACUGUGAGCGGCCAAGCGAAAGCGUUAAGCAUCCCACCUGGGGAGUACGCCGGCAACGGUGAAACUCAAAGGAAUUGACGGGGGCCCGCACAAGCGGAGGAACAUGUGGUUUAAUUCGAUGAUACGCGAGGAACCUUACCCGGGCUUGAACUGCCGGCGAACGAUACAGAGAUGUUGAGGCCCUUCGGGGCGCCGGUGGAGGUGCUGCAUGGUUGUCGUCAGCUCGUGCUGUGAGGUGUCGGCUUAAGUGCCAUAACGAGCGCAACCCCUCUCUUCAGUUGCCAUCACUUCGGGUGGGCACUCUGGAGACACUGCCACCGUAAGGUGUGAGGAAGGUGGGGAUGACGUCAAAUCAGCACGGCCCUUACGUCCGGGGCUACACACGUGUUACAAUGGGUGGUACAGAGCGUCGGCCGCCGGCAACGUCGGUCCAAUCGUGAAAUCCAUCCUCAGUUCGGACUGGGGUCUGCAACCCGACCCCACGAAGCUGGAUUCGCUA
rnacentral:rRNA from 1 species